AAGUUGUCAGUAUUUGCGGUCCACCUUCACUUUAACAACAACAAGUUCGUUUCAAAACAACAGAAACAUGGUUCGGACAUUCGCCGCAGCUUUUCUUCUACUAACAUGUGCUCUAACUCUGGUCCAAGCCCGAUCCACGAAUAUGGAAUCAGACCAUAUGUCUCUAUCGGAAUCUAUAGAUCUGAACAUGAACUUAGAUGAUGGUGCUGAGUCAGCUAACGAGGACUCUGAGAUAGUCGCGAUGAACUCCGCCGAUGAGGGUGCGGUGUAUGGAAGAUAAACCUACAGUUGAGGAAAGUCCGUGCAACAGAGACUCCUCCUUAACCAGAGCUGGUUUCUCAGAGAGAGCACGUGAAAACCAUGUGACACAUCGUCACAUAACGAACAGUUUUUAAAGGACACUCCCCGGUCACUUUAUGGUCAAUGAUUUGACUUUGAUUGUUUUUAAUGACGUGCCAAAGGCUCCGAGCAGACGCCUGUCACGCUCAGCAUUUCAUUUGAUCAUGGUUUAUCAUUUUGAAUUUUAACCCAUUUCAAA